rnacentral:rRNA from 1 species
UAGGGAAUCUUCCGCAAUGGACGAAAGUCUGACGGAGCAACGCCGCGUGAGUGAAGAAGGAUUUCGGUUCGUAAAACUCUGUUGUUAGGGAAGAAAAAAUGUAUAGUAACUAUAUACAAAAGAGACGGUACCUAACCAGAAAGCCACGGCUAACUACGUGCCAGCAGCCGCGGUAAUACGUAGGGGGCUAGCGUUGUCCGGAAUCACUGGGCGUAAAGGGUUCGCAGGCGGAAAUGCAAGUCAGGUGUAAAAGGCAGUAGCUUAACUACUGUAAGCAUUUGAAACUGCAUAUCUUGAGAAGAGUAGAGGUAAGUGGAAUUUUUAGUGUAGCGGUGAAAUGCGUAGAUAUUAAAAAGAAUACCGGUGGCGAAGGCGACUUACUGGGCUCAUUCUGACGCUGAGGAACGAAAGCGUGGGUAGCAAACAGG